CGCGGCCCCAUGUGAUGGGGUCACAGGGUGGUUGGCAGUCCAGUGAGAUGUGCCAUCUGCAGUGUGACCACAUGACACAGCGCCGUG